rnacentral:rRNA from 1 species
AAUAUUGCACAAUGGAGGGAACUCUGAUGCAGCAACGCCGCGUGAGUGAAGAAGGUUUUCGGAUCGUAAAACUCUGUCAUUGGGGAAGAAUAAAUGACGGUACCCAAUGAGGAAGCCCCGGCUAACUACGUGCCAGCAGCCGCGGUAAUACGUAGGGGGCGAGCGUUGUCCGGAAUUACUGGGCGUAAAGGGUGCGUAGGCGGCUAAUCAAGCCAGAGGUGAAAGGCUACGGCUUAACCGUAGUAAGCCUUUGGAACUGACUAGCUUGAGUGCAGGAGAGGAGAGUGGAAUUCCUAGUGUAGCGGUGAAAUGCGUAGAUAUUAGGAGGAACACCAGUGGCGAAGGCGACUACCUGGACUGAUACUGACACUGAGGUGCGAAAGCGUGGGGAGCAAAC